UUUCCGUUGUAGCAAUACGAUGGAAAGUCUAGUGGCGAACGGGUGCUUAACACGUGGGCAACCUGCCGAGAAGUGGGGGACAGCUCGCCGAAAGGCGGAUUAAUACCGCAUGUGAUUAGAGAGGACAUCCUUUCGAAAUUAAAGUCGGGGCAACCUGACGCUUCUUGUGGGGCCCGCGGCCUAUCAGCUAGUUGGUGAGGUAACGGCCCACCAAGGCUUUGACGGGUAGCUGGUCUGAGAGGACGACCAGCCACACUGGGACUGAGACACGGCCCAGACACCUACGGGUGGCAGCAGUCGAGAAUUUUUCUCAAUGGGGGAAACCCUGAAGGAGCGACGCCGCGUGGAGGAUGAAGGUCUUCGGAUUGUAAACUCCUGUCAUUGGGGAACAAUGGUUACGCGUUAACUGCGCGUGACUUGAUAGUACCCGAAGAGGAAGAGACGGCUAACUCUGUGCCAGCAGCCGCGGUAAUACAGAGGUCUCAAGCGUUGUUCGGAUUCAUUGGGCGUAAAGGGUGCGUAGGCGGCGCGGUAAGUCGGGUGUGAAAUCUCGGGGCUUAACUCCGAAACUGCAUUCGAUACUGCCGUGCUUGAGGACUGGAGAGGAGACUGGAAUUCACGGUGUAGCA
rnacentral:rRNA from 1 species